rnacentral:lncRNA from 1 species
CUCUCAAAAAACACUCCCCAGGAGAUUUCACCUCAGUGAUGCUGUUUUCUUCUUAAUCACCACUAAUUUCUUAGCUUCAGCUAACCAGGGUCAAUAAUCCCAGUAGUCCCUUCUAUUUUUUACUCUAAAGCCAGAGCCACAUGGCUGAAGCUGCUGAGGUCUACUGCUUGCUGGAGCUGGGACAUGGCCCUCUUGUUCUAUUAUACUAUCACCAACAUUCUGUUUUCCAACUCCCUCAUUGCUGAAAUCCUGGAAAUUUCUCUGCAGAUUAAUCAUGAACUCACAGAUCUGCAUGGGUCAGUCUCCUGAACACUGGGAUUAGGGGUGUGUACCACCAGGCCUGAACUUAAUGCUUUUCUUUAUCUGGAACUUGCUCUGUAUAAGGCUAUCCUUGAACUCAGAGAUCUGCUUACCUCUGUCUCCUGGGAUUAAAGGUGAGUAGCACCAUGCCUGAAUUUAUACUUUUCGUUAUAGGUCUUAAUCAUGUUGAAAAAUGAGAAUAGCCAUUACAAUCCAUCUCUUCUCAAAUUGACACAUAAUCAUAUCUCCUUAUGUCCAAAUGAAAACAACCACCAGGUCAUAAUAAUGCCUAACAUUAUAAAACUCUCCCUCACACAACUGCACAUGCUUAAAUUUAGCUUGGGGCCUUACCCUGAGGUCACUACUCCCUUAAUUUCACUCAAUAUCCAUGAACAAAGGAUUUAGCUUCAUUCCACUUUCUGUGCCCCUUUAUUCUUUGAACUCUACAUUUUGUAUUUUUCCUUCCUAAGCUCGCUAUGCUUGAUAAAAAUGCUUUUCAUAAGAGUAAUGCAGAGGACAAAGUCUAUGCUGGACCUUUUUUUUUUUUUUUUACUUUCUUUAUCAAUGCAACUAAUAUCUUUAUCUUAGCCAUAGGCAGACUUUUUGGACAAGGAAUAAACCAGCAGCAUUCUUCACCCAAACAUGUUAAGAAUGAUCUCUAGAGUUCAAAUCAGCCUCUGUACCAAUGUCUUCCAUAUUCCUACUAGGGUGGCCCAUUAAAUCUCACUUAAAGCACUUCAUGGCUUUCCAAAUCCAAAGUCCCCAGAUCCACAAUCAUC